rnacentral:lncRNA from 1 species
AGGAUUAUUGGUGAGGGAAAGCUGUUUAAUUUUGCAACUUUAUGUGAUUUUAGGAAGACCUCCAUUCUUUUCAGAAAAUGUUUCAGAAUUAAUUGAGAAGAUUUUAUAUGAAGAUCCUUUGCCACCUAUUCCAAAAGAUUCUUCUCUUCCUAAAGCAUCUUCAGAUUUUAUUAAUUUGGUUGAUGGCUUACUUCAAAAAGAUCCUCAGAAAAGAUUACAUUGGACAGGACUACUGCAGCAUUCAUUUUGGAAAGAUGCUUUCAUGAGAGAGGAGCAGGAAUCAGGCAUCGAGGAUUUCGGCUUCAGGUAAUAUGAACUUACCUCUGUGUGUGUGCCAUACUUAGUGAAUGCUCUUGUGUUUUGAUAACGCAUCAUCAGUGACCUGAAUUUCUAUGGUUUCAUAGUCAAAAUCUAGCAUUUUUUUAAAAGAUUGCUUAUCAAGUUGAGUCGUGAUAUUUUUGGGCUCUUGAUUUUGCUCAUUUUCUG